UAGUGAACCAGUACCGUGAGGGAAAGGCGAAAAGAACCCCGGCGAGGGGAGUGAAAAAGAACCUGAAACCGUGUACGUACAAGCAGUGGGAGCCCCACCACUAAGCCAGUGGUGAACUCCACAUACGCAUCCUUUGCUGAGGAUACGGUUAACGGAGCGCAAGCGACGUUCAACCUCAAAAGAAGCAGAGGGGGCUUAGUGGUGGGGUGACUGCGUACCUUUUGUAUAAUGGGUCAGCGACUUAUAUUCUGUAGCAAGGUUAACCGUAUAGGGGAGCCGGAGGGAAACCGAGUCUUAACCGGGCGUUAAGUUGCAGGGUAUAGACCCGAAACCCGGUGAUCUAGCCAUGGGCAGGUUGAAGGUUGGGUAACACUAACUGGAGGACCGAACCGA
rnacentral:rRNA from 1 species